AGCCAGUGUGGUGUAGUGGUUAGAGCAUUGGACUCGGAGCUCAGAGGCCAGGGUUCAAAUCCCCACUCGGCCA